AUAGAUUGGCAUGGGUGCACUUACCCCUGUGUUUUUUUUCUUGCUUCUUGUGAGUCCUCUAAAUCUGUAUUUUUUUUCAGACUUUUUUGUUUUUAAUAUAUGUACAUAUUUACAAUUUACCCAACCAUUGUUAACGUUACUUUAUGGGAGAGGUUUCUCUGGUAUCCACAUGGUGGAUUGGAGUGUGUUGUAGGAUUCGUGGGGUUCACCACGGGUUUCCUUUCGAUAAUCUGAAUCGUUGAUUAUGUAGAGUUCAUCGAGUCCUUUAUACCUGCAAAAAACACAUUAAUCAGAUAUAGAUAGCCUCUUGAUCGGAAUAUACUUUUGUUAAUAAUUUAUUUUUAAAACCAUAUUACCAUUGACAAAAAUGUAUUCUGAUCAAAGGACUACCGCUAUCCGAUCAACGUGAUUUUUCACACACAUGAAGUACUUGAUGAGUUCUACAUAUUGAACGGUUCAGAUAAUCGAAACGGGAUCCAUAGUGAGUCCCACGGGUCCAACAGCAUGCUCUAGUCCACUGUGGACUGGAGAGAAGCCUCUCCCUAGUUUAAUUCCUCUUGGCUUCUCAGCGUGAUUGCUGGAGUUUGCAAACACAGAUUGAUGCAUUUAACAGGACUGUCCAGGAAGAUCUGCCAUGUAUGAUUGAAGAUCCACAAGAGCUCGCUGAGUAUCUUGCAAAUUCCAUAUUUUUCAUCUCCACGGGGACCAAUGACUACACCUUAAACUUUAACAACCACCACGACCCUGAAUAUUUUGCAAAUUCUCUCUUAAUUCAGUUUCGAUGGUGUUUGCAGACACUAUAUAACAUUGGAGCCAGAAAUCUAGUGGUGAACAACAUAGGUCCUCUGGGAUGCUUGCCAUCGAUGAUAAACAAGACAGGAAAUGGGCAGUGCGAUGAACAAAUAAUUAAUUUCUGGUCAUUAUUAAUUUUUUUUAAAUUUUUUUUUAAUAUCAUUUUGCCGUAAAGUAGCUAUUUUUGUCUCCUGCAUGUGUGUUGUGCUGUGUAGGGUUUACAGAUGUAAAGGAUCCAUGUUGCAGAGGCUAUGUUGAUGGGAAACUAGCUUGCAUCCCAAACUCUACACCAUGUGACAACAGAUGUCAAUAUCUCUUCUUUGAUGAGCCUAUGUUCUAGGGGAACUAGCUUGCAUCCCAAAUUACUCUACACCAUGUGACAACAGAUGUCACUCUCUCUUCUUUGAUGCCAGCCACACCAGUGAAUUUGCAAAUUGUAUCUUUGUUCGAGACAUGCUUAUUAAAGAUUGAGGGUUCAACAAGUUUGCUAGUUUAUUUUUAAUUAUGAGUGGUAUGGUAGUAAGAGUAUGGGAUGAAAACAAGCUCUUGUCUCUGCUGAAGUUAUUAUGGACACUCAAA